rnacentral:tRNA from 2 species
GUGCUUGUAGCUCAACUGGAUAGAGUGGCUCCCUUCUAAGGAGCAGGUUGCGAGUUCAAUUCUCGCCAAGCACACAA